AUGACAGUGGAUGGAAGGAAGGGACCCAAACAUGCCACUUUUUCUCAGUGGUACAUGGUUGUUCGGAUAUGCAAUGGAACCACUAAGCUACAAGACUGGUUGGAUCUAUCACUUAAUCCUGCUGUUGUGCCAUCUUCUCUUCUCAUACUUUCAAGAGCUUUUACCCUGGCUGGGAGAACGAAACCCGUGGAUGCUGUUGUAGCAACAGCGUCUUCUUUGCCAGAUGAAGUUAUGGAUACAAUUGGGACAGUAUUGCCAUCUGAAGAUUCAGUUUCUGAGAGGAGGAGAAAACCGAAAUUCCUUGAGAUGCAGGAAGAACUUAUCAAGUGCAACCAUAAUACUUGGCACAAGUACGAAACCUACACAGGCAGAGGAGAGAAGAAGAAAGAGAAAGAAGAGAAGGCAAAACAAAAGAAGGAAGAAAAGGCAAUUCUCACAGAACAGGAGGCCGCUGAAGAAGAUUUGGCUUUAAAGGAAAUGAUUGGGCCUACUGCUAGGGAAGAAGAAGAAAUGAUAGAAGCAAAACAACAUGACCAACAGCAGCUCUGUAAUGUCAGUCGGGCAUUGGCUGUGCUGGCAUCUGCAUCGGUAUGA
rnacentral:rRNA from 1 species